rnacentral:rRNA from 1 species
AGCAGCAGCCACGGUAAUACAGAGGGUGCGAGCGUUAAUCGGAUUUACUGGGCGUAAAGCGUGCGUAGGCGGCUUCUUAAGUCGGAUGUGAAAUCCCUGAGCUUAAAUUAGGAAUUGCAUUCGAUACUGGGAAGCUAGAGUAUGGGAGAGGAUGGUAGAAUUCCAGGUGUAGCGGUGAAAUGCGUAGAGAUCUGGAGGAAUACCGAUGGCGAAGGCAGCCAUCUGGCCUAAUACUGACGCUGAGGUACGAAAGCAUGGGGAGCAAACAGGAUUAGAUACCCCAGUAGUCCCUGUCUCUUAUAC